rnacentral:snRNA from 1 species
GUGCUCACUUCGGCAGCACAUAUACUAAAAUUGGAACGAUACAGAGAAGAUUAGCAUGGCCCCUGCCCAAGGAUGACACUCAAAUUCGUGAAGCAUUCCAUAUUUUU